rnacentral:rRNA from 1 species
CCUACGGGUGGCAGCAGUGGGGAAUAUUGCACAAUGGGGGAAACCCUGAUGCAGCGACGCCGCGUGAGUGAAGAAGUAUUUCGUUAUGUAAAGCUCUAUCAGCAGGGAAGAAAAUGACGGUAGCUGAGUAAGAAGCCCCGGCUAACUACGUGCCAGCAGCCGCGGUAAUACGUAGGGGGCAAGAGUUAUCCGGAGUUACUGGGUGUAAAGGGGGCGUAGGCGGCAGUGCAAGUCUGGAGUGAAAGGCCGGGGCUCAACCCCCGGACUGCUUUGGAAACUGUACGGCUGGAGUGCAGGAGAGGUAAGUGGAAUUCCUAGUGUAGCGGUGAAAUGCGUAGAUAUUAGGAGGAACACCAGUGGCGAAGGCGGCUUACUGGACUGUAACUGACGUUGAGGCUCGAAAGCGUGGGGAGCAAACAGGAUUAGAUACCCGAGUAGUC